GCUGACCAAGGGAGCCAGGGGUGCAGCGCGGUGCCCCUCGGAGGCCUGCGGACCUGCUACCUUCUCCGGCCUUCCCCCUGGCUGCGGUGAGGUCACUGAGUGGCUGCGGUGCUGCCGAGGCCCAGGUGCGGUGUUUUGCGGCGGCGCCGAAGGUGAGCGACCCCCGGGCCAGCAGACAGGGAAUGGCGCUGACUCUGGAGACCUCGAUCCCCUGCGCCCCUCUUGCAGCUCAGGCUGCAGAAUUGUGUAACCCCUAACCUCCGGUUCCCCCUCCGCUGCUCCGGCCCUGCCACCCUCGCUGCGUGGUUCGCUGACUUGUGCGCCCGCCCACGGAUCUGCUUCUGAGUCCGGCAACCGGCAACGCCUCCUUCCUCCAGCGCAGAUGAUUCGAACACUUGACAUCUUCAGUUCAGAUCCUGCCUGCUCCCGUUGACUGACUGCAUGGCCAUGGACCGGUAGCCAACCCACAUGGUCUUUAUUUUACGACUCACCUAACCCAUGGUGUCUUCCCCCUUGUGGUUCUUCUCUGAUGCUGGAAGUCCUGGAAUGCUAAACCCUGCCUGCAUGGGUUUCUUCUGCCCAGCUAUUGACUGUUGUCAUCUCUAUUCACCAAUCAGAAAUAAUUUGGAGGCAAGGUCACAUAGCCUCACUUGGAUCUACCUGUGCACUUUCUUGUCUCUGGGACAAUACAUACAACAGACCAAACCUCAUCAAUAGAGGUCCCAGAAGCUGGAGCAGCAGUUCUGCCACGCAGGAAGAGGGACACUGGCUGCAAUAGUUAGUGCAGCACAGCCUAUCAAGAUCUAGAACUCUCAGCAACUUCUCUAGCCCCAUGUCUGCCUGGAUGCUGCCAUGCUUCCCACCAUGAUAAUAAUGAACUAAACCUCUGAAACUGCAAGCUUCCUCUGAUUUGGGACAAAAUGAAAACAGGCUGGUCUUCCCUUGUACCUGACACAGGAAAAACAGUGGCUCUGUCAGCAACCAUGGCACAGGAAGGUCACCUUUUCAUCCUGGCGCUAACAUCCAGCUGGAGUGGCAGUAUUAGCAAAAUAAAAUCCUGAAAGGAGAAGCAGAGAUCAUGCUGACCCAGAAAGUGGAGAUCUGAUUGCUGAGAUUAAAGGCUUGAGCCACCAUGAUUAUCUGUAAUAAAGUGAGGUGUUAGAGCCUGUGGCCUAGUGAAGUGAACAUCGGGCCUGGAAGCAAGGUCAGAGUCAAAGUCUUUUUGAUAAAGAACCAGGAAUACAUACCAGCACAUCUGGGCUGACUGUCCUUCUUCCCAAGGGAUGGAUCAAUCUCAGAGAAGAUGGUCCUUCCUCUUGAUCUACAGGGUACUCUCUAGAUCAGUAGAGCCUCCUUACAAGUCACCACAUGUAAAUUGGAUUUACAUCCCUAUCAUCUAGAGGAUAGCAAGCACAGAGAACAGCAAAGACAAAAAAGAAAGGACAAAGAAC